CGAACGCGUCUUGGUCAAUGAAGUUGAGUGCUUGCAUUUAACUGAUUUCACAUUAAGACGAGUGGCGAACUGGUGAGUAACACGUGGGUAACUUGCCCCGAAGCGGGGGAUAACAUUUGGAAACAGGUGCUAAUACCGCAUAACAACAAAAACCACAUGGUUUUUGUUUAAAAGAUGGUUUCGGCUAUCACUUUGGGAUGGACCCGCGGCGUAUUAGCUAGUUGGUGAGGUAAUGGCUCACCAAGGCAAUGAUACGUAGCCGACCUGAGAGGGUAAUCGGCCACAUUGGGACUGAGACACGGCCCAAACUCCUACGGGAGGCAGCAGUAGGGAAUCUUCCACAAUGGACGAAAGUCUGAUGGAGCAACGCCGCGUGAGUGAUGAAGGGUUUCGGCUCGUAAAACUCUGUUGUUGGAGAAGAACGGGUGUCAGAGUAACUGUUGACAUCGUGACGGUAUCCAACCAGAAAGCCACGGCUAACUACGUGCCAGCAGCCGCGGUAAUACGUAGGUGGCAAGCGUUGUCCGGAUUUAUUGGGCGUAAAGCGAGCGCAGGCGGUUUUUUAGGUCUGAUGUGAAAGCCUUC
rnacentral:rRNA from 1 species